UACGUAGGGGGCUAGCGUUGUCCGGAAUCAUUGGGCGUAAAGCGCGUGUAGGCGGCUUUACAGGUCCGUUGUGAAAACUCGAGGCUCAACCUCGAGACGCCGGUGGAAACCGUAAAGCUAGAGUCCGGAAGAGGAGAGUGGAAUUCCUGGUGUAGCGGUGAAAUGCGCAGAUAUCGGGAGGAACACCAAUGGCGAAGGCAGCUCGCUGGGACGGUACUGACGCUGAGACGCGAAAGCGUGGGAGCAAACAGGG
rnacentral:rRNA from 1 species